CCUACGGGUGGCAGCAGUGAGGAAUAUUGGUCAAUGGACGAAAGUCUGAACCAGCCACGUAGCGUGAAGGAUGAAUGCCCUCUGGGUUGUAAACUUCUUUUAUAUGGGAAUAAAAUGUUCCACGUGUGGGAUUUUGUAUGUACCAUAUGAAUAAGGAUCGGCUAACUCCGUGCCAGAAGCCGCGGUAAUACGGAGUAUCCGAGCGUUAUCCGGAUUUAUUGGGUUUAAAGGGAGCGUAGGUGGAUUGUUAAGUCAGUUGUGAAAGUUUGCGGCUCAACCGUAAAAUUGCAGUUGAAACUGGCAGUCUUGAGUACAGUAGAGGUGGGCGGAAUUCGUGGUGUAGCGGUGAAAUGCUUAGAUAUCACGAAGAACACCGAUUGCGAAGGCAGCUCACUGGACUGCAACUGACACUGAGGCGCGAAAGUGUGGGGAUCAAACAGGAUUAGAUACCCGAGUAGUC
rnacentral:rRNA from 1 species